UACGAAGGGGGCUAGCGUUGUUCGGAAUUACUGGGCGUAAAGCGCGCGCAGGCGGUUCUUCAAGUCAGUGGUGAAAGCCCGGAGCUCAACUCCGGAAAUGCCAUUGAAACUGUUGAACUUGAGGACGAGAGAGGUGAGUGGAAUUCCCAGUGUAGAGGUGAAAUUCGUAGAUAUUGGGAAGAACACCGGUGGCGAAGGCGGCUCACUGGCUCGUUUCUGACGCUCAGGCGCGAUAGCGUGGGGAUCAAACAGG
rnacentral:rRNA from 1 species